AGGUCUCCUGAAGGAACGUUGAAGACGACGACGUUGAUAGGCCGGGUGUGUAAGCGCAGCGAUGCGUUGAGCUAACCGGUACUAAUGAACCGUGAGGCUUAACCUUACAACGCCAAAG
rnacentral:rRNA from 5 species